rnacentral:rRNA from 1 species
AUUGAACGCUGGCGGCAUGCCUUACACAUGCAAGUCGAACGGCAGCGGGGACUUCGGUCCGCCGGCGAGUGGCGAACGGGUGAGUAAUGUAUCGGAACGUACCAUUCAGUGGGGGAUAACUAUCCGAAAGGAUAGCUAAUACCGCAUAUUCUGUGAGCAGGAAAGCAGGGGAUCGCAAGACCUUGCGCUGAUUGAGCGGCCGAUAUCAGAUUAGCUAGUUGGUGAGGUAACGGCUCACCAAGGCUACGAUCUGUAGCGGGUCGGAGAGGAUGAUCCGCCACACUGGGACUGAGACACGGCCCAGACUCCUACGGGAGGCAGCAGUGGGGAAUUUUGGACAAUGGGCGCGAGCCUGAUCCAGCCAUGCCGCGUGAGUGAAGAAGGCCUUCGGGUUGUAAAGCUCUUUCGGCCGGGAAGAAAUCGCAUCAGCUAAUAUCUGGUGUGGAUGACGGUACCGGAAUAAGAAGCACCGGCUAACUACGUGCCAGCCGCCGCAGUAAUAC